rnacentral:misc_RNA from 1 species
AAGUCGUAACAAGGUUUCCGUAGGUGAACCUGCGGAAGGAUCAUUACAAAUCCAUUUUUUUUCUCUUUAAGGUGCCAGCUGAGCGGGUUGACGAGGUCUCACAACCUUGUCCUUCUGCUCGCUGCCCUUAAGGGAAAAAAAACCAUAUACCUCAAAAACCCCUUUGUGCACUGUUGAAAAGGCGUCAACGUGGGGAGUACCCCCGUUAGUCGUCUACCCAUUUCAAAACGCUUUUAUUUUUGUUUUGCCUAAAGGUUUUUGAACCCAAGUGAUUUAAAUAAAUCUAAAAUACAACUUUUAGCAACGGAUCUCUUGGCUCUC